rnacentral:rRNA from 1 species
CCUACGGGAGGCAGCAGUGGGGGAUAUUGCACAAUGGGGGAAACCCUGAUGCAGCGACGCCGCGUGAGUGAAGAAGUAUUUCGGUAUGUAAAGCUCUGUCAGCAGGGAAGAGAGUGACGUUACCUAACUAAGAAGCCACGGCUGACUACUGGCCAGCAGCCGCGGUAAUACGUCGGGGGCGAGCGUUAGCCGGAUUUACUGGGGGGAAAGGGAGCGUAGACGGCUGGUCAAGUAUGGAGUGAAAGCCCGGGGCUUAACCCAGGAACGGAUUUGGAAACUGAGCAGCUAGAGUGCGGGAGAGGUAAGCGGAAUUCCUAGUGUAGCGGUGAAAUGCGUAGAUAUUAGGAGGAACACCAGUGGCGAAGGCGGCUUACUGGACAGUAACUGACGUUGAGGCUCGAAAGCGUGGGGAGCAAACAGGAUUAGAUACCCCAGUAGUC